CAAACAACAGGGGCGAACAAGAGCUUCCCCACCAAACCCUAACUUGUGCCAAAUUGAUCAAAUUGGAGGUUCAAAUCAGUUCCAAAUCGAUUUUCAAGCAUGAAAUUGUGAUCUCCUCUGAAAAGGGAUCAUAAGGAAAAGAAACCGGAGCGUCAAGUGGACAAGCUGGCGGUGACGCGCGCUUGAAAGGGGUGCUUGAAAGGUAUGUCCAUGAAGUGGUGUAACUCACUCGACAUCCAAACGGGUCAAAACAAGUUGAGUUGUAAAUGUCGAAGUCAAUGACCAUCACUCGUUGAUUGGUCAUAAACAAAGCGUAAGCCGUGAAGCGGACACGCUAACUAGAUGCAAAAAACAUGAACCCUUGAAGAGGGAUUAAAGCUCGGAAUUUUUACUUAUCAAACGAUUUAAGAAAGCAUGUUUAAUCCUUGAAAUAAGCAUGAUGGUUACGGCAUAAGCAACCUACGAGUGGGAAGCGAAACGCCAUAAUUGGUAAAAACGGGAAUAGGUGAAAUGGCCUAAAAACAUGAGAUGACAACAAAACAAGUUGUUGAAUUUGUAGACAUACGGGUCGAAUAAAUAAGGAAUCGGAUUAUAAUCCGAUUGUUCUUAACUAAAAACUUACGUGAAUUAAGUUGAUCAAAGUGUCCGUUAUUAAAUUACGGUCGCGUGGGAAAAAGAAUCACCUAAAACGGACUUACGAGUCACAAGUUAUGUUGAUUUAAAGUUUAAAACGUUAAGAUUUGGUGCUGAACUGAUACAUAGCUCCAACAAGCAACAAUCUGUCGAAAUCACGCCGUGGCGCAAUGCCACGACCUCCCUCGCGUGACGCGACGACGGUGGCGCGACUCCACGCCCUCCCUCGCGCGACGCCAGCAUCCAGAACCGAGAUUUUCUUGUUUUUUUUGAUACUUUGAGUAUGGAACUUGCUUAUACUUGGUGUUUAAUGUGUCAAACUAAUAAUUUUAAAAGGUUUUGACCGUAGGUGAAGAUGGACCUAAUCCAGAUGGUGAUCAAGCAAUUAACAAGAACCGAAUGCACCAAAUGAAGCUUCCGCAUUUUGUUUAUUUUGUUUUAGAAAUACGUGAACACUUGAAACUAUGUUUUUAAAGUUAACUAGUAGCAUGAUGACUACAAUAUUAAGACCUUGUAGGGUCUUAAAAUCAUGAAAACUUUUUGUAGCUCGCAAAUUUUGUACUAAAUGCAAGUUAUAUAUUAUUAAUUCUGUUA